AGUGUUUUCUGUGCUUGUCAAGUAGAGUUAGCUUCGUUUUCAAAAUUCAUUUAGCCAACUUGUUUAUUUUUGAAUUUGCAGAAUAGAAAUUACUGAAAUGAAUAAAAUGCAUGUGUCGUAAAGCUGGAUGGAAAUUAUUUUAAUUGCAUAUUCUCUAUCUGCUGUUUAGUUUCAUGAACAGAAUUGUGAGAAAAAUGAACCUUUCAUUAUUACUGAUCUAUAUUACUACAGGUGCAGCUGUUGAUGAGAUUGAAUACAGCGAGAAGUGUUACCACUUUGAAUAUGACUAUUUUUGGGACAAGUGAGACAUGCUAUUGCUCGAAGAAGUUUGAGAAUGAGAAGGAAGAAGAGUCAGGGGAUGAAAUCACAAGAGAUUUGUGGAAAUUGCAUGUAGAGAAAAGAAGUAAUUCCACUUGAACAAAAUCAACUACGCCUACAUAUGAUAGAAAACAAUAAAUUCCAGGCAAAGCAAGACUUUCCGCUGAAAAUUUGUUCAGGGGACUUAGAAGAAAAUCAAGAUGAUGACGAUCAGAGAGGAAGGAACUACUCAAUCGAUGGACAUUUCAGAUGAAUAACAUGAAAGUGGUAAUUUGUGACGAUUACGAAGAUGAAACGAGAGAAAAGAAGUAAUUCCACUUGGACAAAAUUAUCUGGAAGAAAAUUUUCAGCUCCUCCAAUGGUAACGGAUAUCGAGACGACAAGAUUUUUUUACUAGGUUUUAGGUAAGAACGGGAAAAGAAUGGAGCAGCCAGAGUUAUGGAGAUGGAAAUCUGAACAUUUCAAGCAGCCAAUCCUGAAGUAAAGAGAAAAGGACUGGAGUUGGAGUAUACAUGAACCUUAGCAACGGCAUAGAGAAAAAUUUAUUCUAAAUAUUGAAAACAUUAAUCGGGCUGGUCUACUUUGAAGCACUGCUAUCUAGUGGACAAUUCUAGAAGGCGAAAGAUUCAAUAUUCAGAUAUUCCUACUCAUGAUGACUAAUUGGUCAAUGAUGUCGUUCUUGCGAUGAGGAACAUCCCAAAGAUCUUGUAGGAAGAACCUGAAAGGAAUACAAACUGUGCAUAGAGGGUCCAGACGUCCGUGCAGGUCACCGAAGAGUCGUCCAGUAUAGUCGUCCAGUAUAAUCUCUCAUAAUGUAAUAAUUAUGCCUCAAUAAAGUGUCCACUGUCGUUCUCU